rnacentral:ncRNA from 1 species
AUAAAAUAAUUAUGUUUUUGAAAAUUUAUUAUAAAUUUAUUUUACAUAUAAAUUUUAGUAUAUAAUUUUAAUUAUUUAAAUAAUGAUUAAUUUAAAUGUUAAGUAGUAAUUUAUAUUAAAAAUUUAAGAAAUUAAGAUUUAGUAAUAUAAAAAUUAAUAACUAAUUUUGUGCCAGCAGUUGCGGUUAAACAAAGAUUAAAUUAAAUUAUUUCAGUUUAUAAUAAAUAAUUUUAUUAUUAAAAUAAAUAUUAAAUUAUUAAGUGAAAUUUUAAUUUAAUUAAAUUUUAUAUAAUAAUUAUGAUUUAAUAAAUUUUAAUAUAAACUAGGAUUAGAUACCCUAUUAUUAAAAAUUUAAUUAAUAAUACUAAAAUAGUAAAUAAUAAUUUAUUGAAACUUAAAUAAUAUGGCGGUAUUUUAGUUCAUUUAGAGGAAUCUGUCUAAUAAUUGAUAAUCCACGAAUAAAUUUACUUAAUUUAUAAUUUUGUAUAUCAUUGUUAAAAAAAUAUUUUUUAGUAAAAAUAAUAUUUUAAUUUUAUUAUAUAAAGUUAAAUCAGAUCAAGAUGCAGAAUAUAAUUAAGAAUAUGAUGGAUUACAAAAAAUAUAUUUAAAUGAAUAAUUUAUUGUAAUAUAAAUUUGAAGGUGGAUUUAAAUGUAAUUUUAAUUAAUUUAUUAAAAUGAUUAAUAAUUAAAAUAUGUACAUAUUGCCCGUCACUUUCAUUUAAAAAUUGAAAUAAGUCGUAACAAAGUAGAGGUACUGGAAAGUGUUUCUAGAAAGA